AUUGAACGCUGGCGGCAUGCCUUACACAUGCAAGUCGAACGGCAGCACGGGAGCAAUCCUGGUGGCGAGUGGCGAACGGGUGAGUAAAGUAUCGGAACGUGCCCAGUCGUGGGGGAUAACGUAGCGAAAGUUACGCUAAUACCGCAUACGAUCUAUGGAUGAAAGCGGGGGAUCGCAAGACCUCGCGCGAUUGGAGCGGCCGAUAUCAGAUUAGGUAGUUGGUGGGGUAAAGGCCCACCAAGCCGACGAUCUGUAGCUGGUCUGAGAGGACGACCAGCCAAACUGUGACUGAGACACGGCCCAGACUCCUACGGGAGGCAGCAGUGGGGAAUUGUGGACAAUGGGCGAAAGCCUGAUCCAGCCAUGCCGCGUGCAGGAUGAAGGCCUUCGGGUUGUAAACUGCUUUUGUACGGAACGAAAAGGACUGCCCUAAUACGGUGGUCCCAUGACGGUACCGUAAGAAUAAGCACCGGCUAACUACGUGCCAGCCGCCGCGGUAA
rnacentral:rRNA from 1 species